ensembl:lncRNA
CAUAGAGGCUCCAUGUUAAAUCUUACCCUCUAUUGUAUAGAGCAAGGAGACUAUGUUACAAGGAACCGCGUCCUUGCCAAAUUAGAUGUUUACCUUCAGAAAUUGUCCUGGAACAUGAUGAACGUUUUGUAAACCCGAGAAACAAGAAAGCCCAUGAGGGUGGGGAAUUUGCAAAGAACUAGAGAACAAGGAAGCAGGUGUCUUUGGAUAAGGGUCAUGAUUAAUAACCAAACUCACCUGUGAUAAAAAGGGGAGGAGACUAAAAAAGCGCGGCGGCAGUCUCUCUGGGAGGCUCCCGACUCUAUCUCUGCGUCUUUCUUUUUCUUCAUCCUCACUCCCCCAUUCAGGUGCUGUUCGACAAGUGACGGCUGGCUCCGUCGCGGGUGGCGCCCGAACAGGGACCUGAAUACGGGGGACCAUAGUGAAGGACACCGCGGAUCGACGCUGAAGGUGCCAGGUGGCUGCCUGAAGGAUUGGUCCGUUUCACGGGAAAUUCUCCUGCCCCUCAGGAUGAUCCCGACAACUGUCCUGCUGGUAAAUCUGAUGAUGACGCUUAAUGAGAAGGUUUAUUGGACUUAUGAACCUGAUCCACCUGUUGUACAUCCAACAAGCUGAAAAAAUGGAGAAGUAAUGGUAUGGGUGAACAAUACCAGGCUGUUGGAUGAGCCGGCGGCACCUGACAAGAACGAGGUCCGAUUGUUCAACUAUACAGGAUCGGAAACCGGAACCCCAUAUGUUUCUCCAAAAUCAACAGAACUGAUGGGAUAAGACUGAGCGCUCGCACCCUGGCAGGAAGGCAGGUAGAUCAAUGCAAAGGCGGGAUCACUGGAGUGCAUCUACAUCUACCUGUGGGUAUAGAGGCCACUGGUGUAGUGCCUCCGACUUUUAAUGCUCCAAUAAGACUAUUCCAUGGAAGAGAUGUGUGGCGGAUGCCCCUGUGAGAUAUAAUAUUACUGGAUUUGCUACUUAUGUUUUGGACUGGUCUGAAAAUUCUUGUCAUCCCAAAAGAAAUGUCACUGCAUAUGUCAUGCUCUCUUAGGUAUUGCUUGUAGGAAAUAUUAGUGUUCAGAAAGAUUAUGAUUAUUAUAAUGUAAUUUACUUCAAUUGUCAAAUAAGCAAUUGUGUCACCCGAACAGAAAAUCAGAUAAGGGCUUUGCGAAUGUGUUCUUAGAUUUGGAUAUUAUAGAUCUCCAAAAUGCAGAACCCCUAAAAUUUGAUGCAGCCCAGGCUGCACAGGAUUUUAUCGAACAAAUUAGAAAAGGUCUGCCAUCUACAUCUGCAUUUACGUGGUAACUCAUUUCCAUAGUAAUUAUUGGAGGAGGGCUGCCUCUUAGAUGCAUGAUCCUUCCGGCGCUACUACAGAUGUUUAUGCAUUCUUUAAUGAGGAUGGCUGGAAGUACUCACAGUCUACAAUUACAUACUACACCACCUAAACCCAUGGUGUAAUUCCCUGCAGAGGCUGGUAGUCAAUGACGGGUAAGAGGAAUACAGGAAAUCACCAACCUAAGACAGAGCAAGAGUACUGUGAUGCUCUUGACUCCAUGACAGGUAAGGGAUUUCUUUAUAUUCCUCACCUAAGACAGGCACAGCCUAUCUGUGUGAUCAAGGGACCUUGAUCAUAAUAUAUAAAAUAGGGGGAGAUGUGAAGAGCAGUGUUAGCCAUAGAGGCUCCAUGUUAAAUCUUACCCUCCACUGUAUAGAGCAAGGAGACUAUGUUAUGAGGAACCGUGUCCUUGCCAAAUUAGAUGUUUACCUUCAGAAAUUGUCCUGGAACAUGAUGAACGUUUUGUAAACCCGAGAAACAAGAAAGCCCAUGAGGGUGGGGAAUUUCCAAAGAACUAGAGAACAAGGAAGCAGGUGUCUUUGGAUAAGGGUCAUGAUUAAUAACCAAACUCACCUGUGAUAAAAAGGGGGAGGAGACUAAAAAAGCACAGCGGCAGUCUCUCUGGGAGGCUCCCGACUCUCUCUGCGUCUUUCUUUUUCUUCAUCCUCACUCCCCCAUUCAGGUGCUGUUUGACAAGUGACAGCUGGCUCCGUCACUCUGUUUACUGUUGUAUUAAUCUAUCCUUGCACAAAUUCAUAAUCCUUUAAAAAUUUUUUUUGAUAUUUGGGAUUGAAUCUCUAGCCUCAUGAACUCUAGGCAAGCACUCUGCCACUGAGCUACAUCCCUAGCCCAAUACCAUAAUCUUAAUUACUACUGUAAUUUUCAUAUCUAGCAAUAUGUUUUUCAAC